GGAAUAUUGGACAAUGGGCGCAAGCCUGAUCCAGCAAUGCCGCGUGUGUGAAGAAGGCCUGCGGGUUGUAAAGCACUUUCAGUGGGGAGAAAGAAACUAUCACUAAUAUUGAUAGUGGAUGAUGUUACCCACAGAAGAAGCACCGGCUAAUUCUGUGCCAGCAGCCGCGGCAAUACAGAAGGUGCGAGCGUUAAUCGGAAUUACUGGGCGUAAAGGGUGCGUAGGUGGUUUUGUAAGUUAGGUGUGAAAGUCCCGGGCUUAACCUGGGGAUUGCGCCUAAUACUGCAAAGCUAGAGUACUGUAGAGGAAAGUGGAAUUUCCAGUGUAGCAGUGAAAUGCGUAGAUAUUGGAAGGAACAUCAGUGGCGAAGGCGACUUUCUGGACAGAUACUGACACUGAGGCACGAAAGCGUGGGGAGCAAACA
rnacentral:rRNA from 1 species